rnacentral:rRNA from 1 species
AGUGAACGCUGGCGGUAGGCCUAACACAUGCAAGUCGAACGGCAGCACAGUAAGAGCUUGCUCUUACGGGUGGCGAGUGGCGGACGGGUGAGGAAUACAUCGGAAUCUACUUUUUCGUGGGGGAUAACGUAGGGAAACUUACGCUAAUACCGCAUACGACCUACGGGUGAAAGCAAGGGAUCUUCGGACCUUGCGCGAUUGAAUGAGCCGAUGUCGGAUUAGCUAGUUGGCGGGGUAAAGGCCCACCAAGGCGACGAUCCGUAGCUGGUCUGAGAGGAUGAUCAGCCACACUGGAACUGAGACACGGUCCAGACUCCUACGGGAGGCAGCAGUGGGGAAUAUUGGACAAUGGGCGCAAGCCUGAUCCAGCCAUACCGCGUGGGUGAAGAAGGCCUUCGGGAUGUAAAGCCCUUUUGUUGGGAAAGAAAAGCAGCAGGUUAAUACCCCGCUGUUCUGACGGUACCCAAAGAAUAAGCACCGGCUAACUUCGUG